rnacentral:rRNA from 1 species
AUUCCAGCUCCAAUAGCGUAUAUUAAAGUUGUUGUGGUUAAAAAGCUCGUAGUUGGAUCUCGGCGGUCUGAGGGCGGUUCGCUUCAGAGCGCUACUGCCCUAUAGACCGUAGUUUUGCCAGAGGUCUCAGGGUGCUCUUAACCGAGUGUCUUGCGAUGCUGGCAGGUUUACUUUGAAAAAAUUAGAGUGCUCAAAGCAGGCUUUUACGCCUGAAUAUUCGUGCAUGGAAUAAUAGAAUAGGAAGUCGUUUCUAUUUUGUUGGUUUCUAGUACUGAAGUAAUGAUUGAUAGGGAUAGUUGGGGGUGCUAGUAUUGGCCGGCCAGAGGUGAAAUUCUUGGAUUCGGUCAAGACUAACUUAUGCGAAAGCAUUCACCAAGGAUGUCUUCAUCG